rnacentral:rRNA from 1 species
GCGCGAAACCUCCGUAAUGAGGGAAACCGUGAUGGGGUCAUCUGGAGUGGUGAUGUUUGCAUCGGCGAUUGCAGAGCAUAAACAGCUUCCCAUAGCAAGGGCCGUCCAAGGCCAGUUGCAGCCACCGUGGUCAUACCGGCGGCCCGAGUGGCGGUCACUAUUAUUGGGCUUAAAGCGUCCGUAGCCAGGUUGGGAAGUCUUCCGGGAAAUUAGUCCGCUUAACGGUCAGAAUGCCGGAGGAUACUCCCAGCCUAGGGAGCGGGAGAGGCCGAGGGUAUUCCCGGAGUAGGGGUGAAAUCCUAUAAUCCCUUGAGGACCACCUGUCGUGAAGGCGUUCCGGUGUUUCGCCUCUGCCCGUGAGGGACGAAGGCCAUGGGAGCAAACCGGAUUAGAUACCCUCGUAGUCCAGUCUGUAAACGAAGCGGCCUGAUUUUCGGACAAGCUAUCCACUUGUCCGGUGCCGGAGGGGAACCCUUAAGUCCGCCCCCUCGGAGGACGGCCGCAAGGCUGAAAGUUAAAGGAAUCGGCCGGGGACCACCCCAACGGAUGGAGCGUGCGGUUUAAUUAGAUUCAACCCGGGGAAGCUUCCCGCGGGCGACAGCGGCCUGAAGGUCGGUCUCACGGCUCUACCAGACUAGCC